UACAGAGGUCUCAAGCGUUGUUCGGAUUCACUGGGCGUAAAGGGUGCGUAGGCGGGUCUUUAAGUCAGGGGUGAAAUCCUGGAGCUCAACUCCAGAACUGCCUUUGAUACUGAAGAUCUUGAGUUCGGGAGAGGUGAGUGGAACUGCGAGUGUAGAGGUGAAAUUCGUAGAUAUUCGCAAGAACACCAGUGGCGAAGGCGGCUCACUGGUCCGGUACUGACGCUGAGGUGCGAAAGCGUGGGGAGCAAACAGG
rnacentral:rRNA from 1 species